AUUGAACGCUGGCGGCAUGCCUUACACAUGCAAGUCGAACGGCAGCGGACCUUCGGGUGCCGGCGAGUGGCGAACGGGUGAGUAAAGUAUCGGAACGUACCUUUCAGUGGGGGAUAACGUAGCGAAAGUUACGCUAAUACCGCAUAUUCUGUGAGCAGGAAAGCAGGGGAUCGCAAGACCUUGCGCUGAUUGAGCGGCCGAUAUCAGAUUAGCUAGUUGGUGAGGUAAAGGCUCACCAAGGCGACGAUCUGUAGCGGGUCUGAGAGGAUGAUCCGCCACACUGGAACGGAGACACGGUCCAGACUCCUACGGGAGGCAGCAGUGGGGAAUUUUGGACAAUGGGGGCAACUCUGAUCCAGCCAUGCCGCGUGAGUGAAGAAGGCCUUCGGGUUGUAAAGCUCUUUCGGCCGGGAAGAAAUCGCUUAGGUUAAUACCCUGAGUGGAUGACGGUACCGGAAUAAGAAGCACCGGCUAACUACGUGCCAGCCGCCGCCGUAACAC
rnacentral:rRNA from 1 species